rnacentral:sRNA from 1 species
GCUGGGCAUGGUGACAUGCACCUGUAGUCCCAGAUACUUAGGAGGCUGAGGCAAGAAGAUCUCUUGAGUCCAGGUGUCUGAGGCAGCCUAGGGAACAUAGCAAGACCCUGUCUCAA